rnacentral:rRNA from 1 species
AUGUUUUUUUUAGUCUAUGUGCUGAGUUUUCUUUAUAGGGAUCUUUGGAUCAGCUGCACUGAAUUGCAAAAUGAAUCUACCUUCUGUUUUUGCAAAAUUAAUCUAUCUUUCUGUUUUUGUUUUAAAAAGAGAGCGCCGUUUCUUCUAUGGUCCACGGGCAAAACAGUCGAACACGGACCGACAGACCAGAGCUGCUUCACACUGAUCCAACCCCACCGGGCCUCUCCCGCCGCCGCGCUCUCUUCUCGCCGGCAGCCCCUACGCCAACUCGCCCUCGAAUCGCGCUCCUCGGAAUCUGCAAUGGCCUCCACGCCGCCGGUGGCAAGGAAGGUGCCGCACGAGCUGGCGGAGCACGGCGACGUCCGCCUCGACAGCUACUACUGGCUCCGCGACGACUCCCGCUCCGAUCCCGCCGUCCUCGCCCACCUCCGCGCCGAGAACGACUACACGGCCUCCCUCAUGUCCGAUGUCAAACACAUCGAGGAUGAAAUAUUUGCUGAAAUUCGAGGAAGAAUCAAGGAAGAUGAUACAGAUGUGCCUCUUCGCAGAGGGCAGUAUUACUACUAUGAAAGAACAUUGACUGGCAAGGAGUAUGUACAACACUGCAGGCGUCUUGUACCAACAGAUGGCCAUAUUACAGUCUUCGAUGCGAUGCCCGUAGGACUUGAUGCCCCUGAUGAGCAUAUUGUCUUGGAUGAGAAUGUAAAGGCUGAGGGCCAUGACUAUUACAGCAUCGGGGCUUUCAAGGUCAGUCCCAGCGGUAAGCUAGUUGUUUAUGGAGAAGAUACUAACGGUGACGAAGCCUACAUGCUUUAUGUCAUUGAUGCAGAGAGUGGAGAAUAUGUUGGACAACCACUUAAAGGAGUUACUUCUGACAUUGAGUGGGCUGGUGAUGAUUACCUUGUUUACAUUACAAUGGACAGCCUUCAUCGACCAGAUAAAGUAUGCCUACACAAGUUAGGAUCUGAUCAGUCUGAUGAUAUGUGCCUGUAUCAUGAAAAAGAUGACAUAUUUUCACUUGGUCUACAAGCUUCAGAAAGCAAGCAAUAUUUAUUUGUUAGAUCAGAAAGCAAAAGCACAAGCUUUAUAUUCCACCUAGACAUCUCCAAACAGAACAAGCGGCUUGAAGUUUUGACACCUCGCUUGUAUGGCAUUGAUACAGCAGCUAGUCAUCGUGGAAACCAUUUCUAUAUUAAGAGGCGAAGUGAAGAUUUCUACAACUCUGAACUGGUUGCUUGCCCAUCGAAUAAUGUUGCUGAGGCCACUGUCUUGCUACCACACAGAGAAAGUGUGAAAAUUCAGGACUUCCAGCUCUUUGAGAAUCAUAUUGCUGUCUAUGAGCGUGAGAAUGGUCUACCAAAAAUAACUGUAUAUGACUUACCGGCCAGUGGAGAGGCACUUGGGAAACUUCAGGGUGGACGGGAAAUUGAUUUUGUUGAUCCAGCAUAUGCAGUGGAACCCGAGGAGUCACAGUUCCAUUCAUCUAUUAUUAGGUUUCAUUAUAGCUCACUGAAGAUACCACCCUCUGUGUUUGACUAUGAUAUGGAUUCAGGGGUGUCUGUAUUGAAGAAAAUUAAUACUGUUUUACGUGGAUUUGAUUCAUCAAAUUAUGUAUCAGAAAGAAAAUGGGCUGCCGCUUCUGAUGGAACACAGAUACCUAUCUCCAUUAUAUAUAGAAAAGAUCUUGUGCAGCUCGAUGGCUCAGACCCCAUGCUGCUAUCUGGCUUUGGCUCCUAUGAGAUAUGCAUAGAUCCGAGUUUCAGUGGACCAAUAUUCUCUCUAGUAGAUAGGGGGUUUGUACACGCGGUAGCUCAUGUUCGUGGAGGUGGGGAAAUGGGCCGGAAGUGGUAUGAAGAUGGAAAGCUGUUGAAGAAGAAAAACAGCUUCACUGAUUUCAUUGCUUGUGCUGAGCACUUGAUGAAAAGCAAAUACUGUUCAAAGGAAAAGCUUUGCAUUAGUGGCAAAAGUGCAGGUGGCCUAUUGAUGGGCGUUGUCCUAAAUAUGAGGCCUGACUUAUUCAAGGCCGCCAUCGUUGGGGUCCCUUUUGUUGAUGCUCUCACGACUAUGCUUGAUCCAACCAUUCCAUUGACCACAGCUGAAUGGGAGGAGUGGGGUGAUCCAAGAGAAGAAGAAUACUAUUAUUAUAUGAAAUCAUAUUCUCCUCUUGACAACGUGAAAGCACAAGAGUAUCCCCACAUUCUCGUCACGGCCGGCUUAAACGAUCCUUGCGUGAUGUACUCCGAACCUGCCAAGUUUGUGGCUAAGCUGAGGGAAUUGAAAAGGGAUGACAACCUUCUGCUAUUCAAGUGUGAAGUAGGUGCCGGACACAACUCAAAGUCUGGAAGGUUCGAGAAAUUGCGGGAGGACGCCUUUUCUUACACGUUUCUCCUCAAGGCACUGGGCAUGACAAAUACGGCUUGA